GUGAACGAGCGACGCCGCGUGCGGGAUGAAGGGUUUCGGCUUGUAAACCGCUUUUCUUUGGGAAGAAUGUCCGGAUCGUGAAUUCGGAAGUGACGGUACCAGAGGAAUAAGCACCGGCUAACUCUGUGCCAGCAGCCGCGGUAAGACGGAGGUGGCAAGCGUUGUUCGGAUUUAUUGGGUGUAAAGGGUCCGUAGGUGGUCGAGCAAGUCUGAUGUGAAAUCCCAUGGCUCAACCGUGGAACGGCAUUGGAAACUGCCCGACUUGAGUACCGCAGAGGUAAAGGGAAUUCCCGGUGUAAGGGUGAAAUCUGUAGAUAUCGGGAGGAACACCAGUGGCGAAGGCGCUUUACUGGGCGGUUACUGACACUGAGGGACGAAAGCAAGGGGAGCAAACAGGAUUAGAUACCCUGAUAGUCCUUGCCCUGAACGAU
rnacentral:rRNA from 1 species